CCUACGGGUGGCAGCAGUGGGGAAUAUUGCACAAUGGGGGAAACCCUGAUGCAGCGACGCCGCGUGAGUGAUGAAGGAUUUCGGUAUGUAAAGCUCUAUCAGCAGGGAAGAAAAUGACGGUACGUGACUAAGAAGCCCCGGCUAACUACGUGCCAGCAGCCGCGGAAAUACGGAGGGGGCAAGCGUUAUCCGGAUUUAUUGGGUGUAAAGGGAGCGUAGACGGGGCGGCAAGUCUGAAGUGAAAGGGAGGGGGUUAACCCCUGAACUGCGUUGGAAAAUGCCAUGCUAGAGUGCUGGAGAGGUAAGUGGAAUUCCUAGUGUAGCGGUGAAAUGCGUAGAUAUUAGGAGGAACACCAGUGGCGAAGGCGGCUUACUGGACAGUAACUGACGUUGAGGCUCGAAAGCGUGGGGAGCAAACAGGAUUAGAUACCCGUGUAGUC
rnacentral:rRNA from 1 species